rnacentral:rRNA from 1 species
AAGACCCGACGCAAGGACGGUCGCAUUUAUUACAACAAAACCAUCCGGUCCUCGGACCGUUCUCUGGUGACUCUGAAUAACUGAGCAAAUCGCACGGUCUCGCACCGGCGAUGUAUCUUUCAAGUGUCUGCCUUAUCAACUUUCGAUGGUAGUUUAUGUGCCUACCAUGGUUGUCACGGGUAACGGAGAAUCAGGGUUUGACUCCGGAGAGGGAGCCUGAGAAACGGCUACCACUUCUAAGGAAGGCAGCAGGCGCGCAAAUUACCCAUUCUCGGUACGAGGAGGUAGUGACGAAAAAUACCAAGCCGGGGCUCUUAUGAGUUUCGGCAUUGGAAUGAGAACAAUCCAAA